UACGUAGGGGGGCAAGCGUUGUCCGGAAUCAUUGGGCGUAAAGAGCGUGUAGGCGGCCCGGUCAGUCCGCCGUGAAAGUCCAGGGCUCAACCCUGGAAUGCCGGUGGAUACUGCCGGGCUGGAGUCCGGAAGAGGCGAGUGGAAUUCCUGGUGUAGCGGUGAAAUGCGCAGAUAUCAGGAGGAACACCAAUGGCGAAGGCAGCUCGCUGGGACGGUACUGACGCUGAGACGCGAAAGCGUGGGGAGCAAACAGG
rnacentral:rRNA from 1 species